rnacentral:rRNA from 1 species
GAUGAACGCUGGCGGCGUGCCUAAUACAUGCAAGUCGAACGCUGGAGCUCUAGCUUGCUAGAUCGAAGGAGUGGCGAACGGGUGAGUAAUACAUAAGCAACCUACCCACGAAGACUGGGAUAAUCUCUGGAAACGGGGACUAAUACCGGAUAGGUAAUCGGAAGGCAUCUUCUGGUUAUUAAAGGUUACAAACACUGGUGGAUGGGCUUAUGGCGCAUUAGUUAGUUGGUGAGGUAACGGCCCACCAAGACGAUGAUGCGUAGCCGGCCUGAGAGGGUGAACGGCCACAUUGGGACUGAGACACGGCCCAGACUCCUACGGGAGGCAGCAGUAGGGAAUUUUCGGCAAUGGGGGCAACCCUGACCGAGCAACGCCGCGUGAGUGAAGACGGCCUUCGGGUUGUAAAGCUCUGUUGUAAGGGAAGAACGGUAGAUAGAGAAUAUCUAAGUGACGGUACCUUACCAGAAAGCCACGGCUAACUACGUG